GAUACGUCUCCUGCUUGUCAUCCCCAGCGAAUGGAGACUCACCCGUCACCAGCAUGUAGGCUAUGACACCCACACUCCUGAGAAACAAACACAUGGAAGAGUCACAACAUGCAGAGAAACACAGGAUUACCAGAGAAUCCUUGCAACCAGUGACCAAGAAAAAAACCAACUCAAACUGUAAACAACUAUUAGCCUCUGCAGAGCUACUCUGUGGUUUGUGGCUUUACACAACAAGGGAUCACCUCCACUGUCAUUUACAAAUAAACAUGUGUGAUUGUCUAUUGGCUCUGUGUUUCAGACACAAACACAAAAGACAGAAUGAUCUACGAAGACCCCUGAACAUGCUCCAGAGUGAAGCUGGUUAUGUAAAAGUUAACUCACCAUAGGUCAGUCGCUGUUGUGAUUGGCUCAUAAUUUAGGAUCUCUGGAGCUGAAAGAAGAAACAAAAGUUGUGAUUCAAUACUUCCUUUUUAAAAAUACUUACAUGUUUGGCUGAAUUAGAUUAGAGACGCAGCCAAAUGUAAGAUCCAACUGUUGUUUAGUGAUCUCACAUUUCCAGUCAUUUUCUCUUUUUUUAAGUCAUGCCACAGUUGUUUAGAAGACCACUGCGGAUAAUACAGCUUUCUUGUGAGCAAUGAA